GACGAACGCUGGCGGCGUGCUUAACACAUGCAAGUCGAGCGGUAAGGCCCUUUCGGGGGUACACGAGCGGCGAACGGGUGAGUAACACGUGGGUGACCUGCCCUCAGCUCUGGGAUAAGCCUGGGAAACCGGGUCUAAUACCGGAUAUGGCUCCAUGACGCAUGUUGUGGGGUGGAAAGCCUUGUGCGGCUGAGGAUGGGCCCGCGGCCUAUCAGCUUGUUGGUGGGGUGANGGCCUACCAAGGCGACGACGGGUAGCCGGCCUGAGAGGGCGACCGGCCACACUGGGACUGAGACACGGCCCAGACUCCUACGGGAGGCAGCAGUGGGGAAUCUUGCGCAAUGGGCGAAAGCCUGACGCAGCGACGCCGCGUGAGGGAUGACGGCCUCGGCGUGUAA
rnacentral:rRNA from 1 species